GACAUGCCGCACGACGAGGCCUCCUCCCGCUCAGUCUGACGCACUUCCCCGGCGUCAGAAGGUUCGCGGAGGGAGACCUGGUCGGGUGGCUCUCGAUCU
rfam:Paraoerskovia marina strain DSM 22126 genome assembly, chromosome: I